GCUACGGCGCUCUGGGAGGGGCUUGCGGCCCAUCAGCUAGUUGGUAGGGUAAUUGCCUACCAAGGCUAAGACGGGUAGGGGGUGUGAGAGCAUGGUCCCCCACAAUGGGACUGAGACACGGUCCAUACUCCUACGUGGAGGCAGCAGCAGGGAAUAUUGCACAAUAGGCGAAAGCCUGAUGCAGCGACGCCUCGUGAGUGAAGAAGGCCUUCGGGUCGUAAAGCUCUUUUGUAGGGGAAGAGGAAGGACGGUACCCUGAGAAAAAGCGUCGGCUAACUACGUGCCAGCAGCCGCGGUACGACGUAGGACGCGAGCGUUAUCCGGAAUUACUGGGCGUAAAGGGCCAGUAGGUGGCUUGGUAAGUUGUGCGUUAAAGCCUCGUGCUCAACGCGAUGAGGCCGGACAAUACUGUCAAGCUAGAUGGCAUCAGAGGGGACUGGAAUUCCCGGAGUAGCGGUAAAAUGCGUCAGAUAUCGGGAGUGAACACCAAUGGCCGAAGGCAGUCUCCCUGGGAUUGUACCUGACACUGAGGGUCGAAAGCUAUGGGAUCGAACAGGAUUAGAGACCCUGGUAGUCCUAGCUGUAAACGAUGGGUGCUAGGUGUGGGGCGUAGAAGUUCCGUGCCGGAGCAAACGCGAUAAGCAUGCCCGCCUGGGAACUACGGUCGCAAGGCUCAAAGUCAAACGAAUUGACGGGGCCCCGCACAAGCAGCGGAGCGUGUGGUUCAAUUCGAUGGUACACGAAGAGCCUUACAUGGGUUUGACAUGUACGUGGUACGUCGGCGAAAGCCAAAGGACCCUUCGGGGAGCUGUACACAGGUGCUGCAUGGCUGUAGUCAGCUCGUGCCGUGAGGAGUCGGGUUAAGUCACCGUAAAGAGCGCAACCCUUGCCCUUAGUUAUCAAGUGUCUAGGGGGACUGCCGCGCGGGAACCCGGAGGAAGAUGGGGAUGACGUCAAGUCAGCACUGGCCCAUAUGUCCAGGGCUACACACACGUUACAAUGGUCAGCUACAAAGGGUAGCGAAGUCGCGAGGCGGAGCGAAUCUCAGCAAAGUCUGAUCGUAGUUCGGAGUUGCAGGCUGCAACCCGCCUGCAUGAAGCUGGAGUUGAUAGUAACCGCGCGUCAGCCAUAGUGCGGUG
rnacentral:rRNA from 1 species